GAUGAACGCUGGCGGCGUGCCUAAUACAUGCAAGUCGAGCGAACAGACGAGGAGCUUGCUCCUCUGACGUUAGCGGCGGACGGGUGAGUAACACGUGGAUAACCUACCUAUAAGACUGGGAUAACUUCGGGAAACCGGAGCUAAUACCGGAUAAUAUAUUGAACCGCAUGGUUCAAUAGUGAAAGACGGUUUUGCUGUCACUUAUAGAUGGAUCCGCGCCGCAUUAGCUAGUUGGUAAGGUAACGGCUUACCAAGGCGACGAUGCGUAGCCGGCCUGAGAGGGUGAUCGGCCACACUGGAACUGAGACACGGUCCAGACUCCUACGGGAGGUAGCAGUAGGGAAUCUUCCGCAAUGGGCGAAAGCCUGACGGAGCAACGCCGCGUGAGUGAUGAAGGUCUUCGGAUCGUAAAACUCUGUUAUUAGGGAAGAACAAAUGUGUAAGUAACUAUGCACGUCUUGACGGUACCUAAUCAGAAAGCCACGGCUAACUACGUG
rnacentral:rRNA from 1 species